rnacentral:rRNA from 1 species
GAUGAACGCUAGCUACAGGCUUAACACAUGCAAGUCGAGGGGCAGCAUGAACUUAGCUUGCUAAGUUUGAUGGCGACCGGCGCACGGGUGAGUAACACGUAUCCAACCUUCCGUUUACUCAGGGAUAGCCUUUCGAAAGAAAGAUUAAUACCUGAUAGUAUGGUGAGAUUGCAUGAUAACACCAUUAAAGAUUUAUUGGUAAACGAUGGGGAUGCGUUCCAUUAGGUAGUAGGCGGGUAACGGCCCACCUAGCCUGCGAUGGAUAGGGGUUCUGAGAGGAAGGUCCCCACAUUGGAACUGAGACACGGUCCAAACUCCUACGGGAGGCAGCAGUGAGGAAUAUUGGUCAAUGGGCGAGAGCCUGAACCAGCCAAGUAGCGUGAAGGAUGAAGGUCCUACGGAUUGUAAACUUCUUUAUACGGGAAUAAAGUUUCCUACGUGUAGGAUUUUGUAUGUACCGUAUGAAUAAGCAUCGGCUAACU